CUCAAGUAUCUUCAGGAAAGUGUUACUAAUGCAAGCAGAUUGUAGAACUUUAAAAACAAACAGAAAAACAAACAAAAAACCCUUUAUUUGGAUAUUCUGAAAAGUUUCUUUUCCUCAUUCCAUUUACAUUAAUUAAAAAGACAGAAUAAGAGGGCUAGUUGCAAUAUACUGCAAUGUCCAAAAUAAUUUUCUUUGGAGCCUUGGUUGUGUUUUGUAUCAAUGUUUAGGGAUGUACUUCCUAUCUUCAGUCUCUGCAGUUAAUUCCAGGGAUACCAGUAACACAAUAUGGAAUUUCAUUCUCUUUACAUGGAAAACAUAUUAUGACUCACUCUGCUAAAUUACAUGUUGGAGAAAAAAUGCUCAAAUGCUUCAUACAAAGUAAUGUGGAUAUUUACAGGGAAAGUUUUCACAUACAUCUUUUUUAUUCUGGAUAAAACACAGCAGUUUAUUGCAUGCAGUAUUGGGAACCUUUUAGUAAAAUUUUACAGAUUAAAUACAUAUCCAAAAUUUUUGCCUUCGAAGCUGAAAUGUAAGAAGUAUAUCAGAUAUGAAUCAAAGCCCAAAUGCCCUCAGUUACCUGACAGAGCCAGCCAAAAAGUUGAUAUCUUUAGAACAAAUGGUGAUGGGCCUUAUCCAGGAGCAUUUCUGGCAGCCUGUUAGAGUGGGAUAAGAUAUUACAACUGCUCUGAAAUUACAGAGUGACUCUUGUAUUUCAGAAUGUUCAGAACUUUGUUUUAAAUAUAGUUUGUGAGCCCAGUCAGUGAGUCUUUAUUUCUGGACUAAUCAUUACUUAGAGAGGGAUAUAUAUUGACCAAAUAGCAGUAAAUUGAAAUCUUUCCUCCUUGAAAUGGAGGCUUGGAGCAAAGGAAAGAUUCCCGUCUAGUUUUAUUUCUUAGCCAAGAUUUGACAGUGUCUAUUUCCAAGUUAACAUGUGUAUGUUUAUAUAUAUACUGAUAGGAGAAUUAAUGUAAAACUAAUGGAAAUUGCCCCUUCCAAAAAAGCUAUCUGUAGUUUGGUUUAGUGAAUGUUCUGUCUUCUAGUAAAUGUCAGAGGUUAUUUGGAACGGUGGUACAUUAAUGGAUGGGCAGCUGUUUAAUUCUGACUGUUGGUUACAAUGAGCCAGAGUUAGUCACACGUGCUUGGCCUGAGGGAAAUCCAGUCUCUCUGGAUGACCAAUGACAAAAAUCCCACUGAGCCUCUGCCACAGAAGCAUCUCGUACUAGGAGUUACCAGGAAUCAGCACUUCCCAAAGGUCGUGGCCUCACAAACACUAGAGGUGUUUGGAAAGUGAGGAGAGCACACUGUGGAUAUGCCCUUCACUGUUUUCCACAGAGUAAUCUUCCUGAGCUUCUGAUUCACUCAUUACAGGGUAAUGUCCAGUCCUUUGCUCUUACAGAAUAGAUCUCAAAACGAGCUCUGCAGUAAUAAAGCAUAAACAUCUCCCAUGGUUAAAGUUUCUCUUGACAUUACUGUUAUCACUGGUUACCCUGCACAUUCCAGGGAUAGUUUAGAUUGUUUAGAAGGCAAACCACAAUCACAAAAACAGCUGUGGAACAACAGUGGUAUUCACUGACGUAAAAUGCAAUGCAUGAGAGUAGAACUAAUUUUAACUUUCAUGUGUAGUAGAUACAUGAUUGACAUAGAAGAAACAAAUUAAUUACAUCACCAGGAACAUUUGCUAGUGAAAAAAGAAGUUGGCUAAAAUGAUGUAGUGAAAUGCACUAAAUAAGCGUUUCCAUUGCUUCUUUUUUGUUUCGUUUUUGUUUAUGCUGACAUAACAGCCCUUCAGAUAAAGAUAUUUCUCACUGAAAUAUUUGAUGAAUGUAACUACAUACAAAUUACCUACAGAAUUACAUACAAAAUGACUUUUUGGAUGUAAGUUGAAGAUGAAAUGUUGAAUUUAUACUAAUAAUCUGAAGUGGUAUACCAAGGAAAAAAUUUGUAAAUUAUUAGAAAAUAGAAAAAUAUAUCAAGAAACGUCCAAUACAGGGAAGAAAUGCAUAUACACUUCAACUAGAAGGAACAUACUGACAAAAGAUCAAUUUCAUCCUCUGUUGCCUGUAGAUUAUCAUAUCAUCAUAUCAUAUCAUAUUGUGUCAUUUCUUUCAUAAAAUUACCAGUUACAGGCAAAUUAUUUGGGGUACGGUCAGUGAAUCUAUAAAGCUGUCACAAGGCAACAGAAUUGCCAAAAGAACCAAUUCUGCUCUUUCCCAUUCCCAGUGUCUUUUUUCUACUCCUGAUGCCACCUGCUUUGUGACGGCCUAAGUGUUAGUAAUAACUAAAGUACCUAGUGUAUUUCAUCCUAAAUGCUAACAUAACAAGGAGGAAAACUGUAUCCACACUUACACUGAGGUGUGAAAAUGUUGCAUAAACAAGGGCUAUGUCUCAGAGAGCUUUGCCUCACAAUUUGUUGUUCAGCUUCUGCAUAUAUUAAAAUUUUAUUCACUGUAUGGGUGCACCAGGCAUUUGAGAUGCAACCAGUGCUAUGACAUCAUGUGGCAAGAGUUUGUGGAAAAAGGGCUGUUGGUGAUAAAUAUAGACAUUUGCUCAUGUCUCAAGGGCUCAGUUGGUAUCCCAGUUGAUAAGUGAGUCUCUAAAUGUGAGCGAUGACGCAGAUCAAGCCUCACAUUUCUGCUCAGAGUGUAGAUGGCAGUUGCAGUGAUCAUUGUGCACAGGGCCUUAAGAUGAUACCAGGGAAAAAAAAGUGGGGGGUGGGAAUCAACAAUGCUGUUUCCUCUGAAAAGAAAUGUUAAUAAUUUGGUAAUAAUGUUACAUAGACAAAUUUUAUAAUGUGUAUGAUGUUUAGAAAAGUUAUCUUCUCUAUUUUUAUAAACCUGAUGAGAUAUAAAAGUGUUCACAAUGUCUAAUUUUUUGUCAGUUACAGGACAUCAGUCACCUUCUCUCCCUUUCAUGUUGGUUAAUGGCAAUUUAGGGUCAAGGAAAGUAGAUACUUUGGCUAAGACUAAGAGCAGAACACAGUUCUGACAAGGACAGACUGUGAAGGAGGUAGGGGAAAUGGGCAAUACAGAAAUACCAGAAGCAGGAACUCACCACUCACAAUUGCAGGAAAUAUUAUUAAUAGCUUAAUCUUGAUAAAAACUGGAAGCAUAAAAUAACUGUGGUAGAAAAGAAGGUGCAAUACUUCCAAUAUUCUUGAAGUGAAAAAAUGCUCCUGUGAGGCAGCAAGCAGCCAGCACUAGCAUGUGUGGCCUCACUGUUUGGAAACAGACUGACACCAUGGCAAGCGUCAUCCCCUCUAUCCUCCACAACCUCGCAGUGCACACCUUUCCCUGCCUUUCUGCCAUCAAUAAGCAGCAAAAGGAGGGAUCAUCAUUUUGCAGCCAGAAGCGAGUGUCACAGAAAACAUUUCAUCAUUCAUGCUUUGACAGUCACGGAAUAGCAGGUAAUUACAUUUACCAGCUUUGUUGCUCCCCUGCCAAGUCCUUCCUGUGGGAAAGGGCUGUGGUUAUAUGCUACAUAACCAGCUCAGCAAGUCAUGUCAGCUCCCUGAUGAAAUGGAGGGAGAGAGCUUACCUCAUCACAAUUAAAAACCUGCUCUGUUUCCAUUUAUGUAGCACAGAGCUAACUGUUACGGCAAGGUUGGAUCACAGCUAUUUAACUCCACUGCCUUAACAUGAAAAAAUAACACAGGUAGAGCCAUUAGAGAGGAGGGAUGACAUCAAUUCAUCCUGAAUGAUGUCCUAGUCUGCGUAAAUAACCAAACCUUUCUUUAACAUACUUUACCAUACCUAAGUGUACAAUAUGGAAUUAUUUUUUCUGAUCUGAAUUUUAAAAGUUCUAAUAUAACAAGAGACAAUUUUUAAAAAGCACUUAUAACAAUGAGCCUGAAUCUGAAAUAUUUUUCACUGGAAGCAAUCAAGGACAGAUACUCUCCAGUUAAUAGGUUUAUACUGGUAACUCCAAUCAGAAUGGAACCUUUAUUUAGCCUGAAAUAUAAAUUAGUGUUCCUGAGGCUUCCAGUGAAUAUCUACAGAAAUUUUAAAACAGGAUUUUAUCAAUUUAAGUGUUUCAGUAUUUAUUCUGGUGUAAUGAAAGCAGUAACAUUGUUGCAAAGAAGCACUAGUGAUUGAAGGGACAUUAUCCAUACGUGAAAAUAAACAUUCUUCAAGUUGCGAUUAAUAGGUAAGCACAAUUUUAUGAAAAUUAAGCAUUAAUCAAUUAGUAAUUCAGAAACAGACUCCCAAAUACAGUCAGCUUACUAUAUCAGACAUGGACAUAGAGGGUUUUGUGUAUGACUACCUGAAUUUGAUAUAAAGUCACUACAGGAAAUUUAGUAUAUCUAAUCUUGCAGUAUCUAAAUAAAGUUUCUGAUACUGCAUGGUAUGAGUCAUUACCAAUCCAAUUAAGAAAGGGAUUAAAACAAGAAACAAAAGAUGGUGAUGGGGAGAGACUACUAAAAAUGAUUUAAAGAAACUGUUACACUGAAAGAAACUUACUAGUGGAGUACUUCAAAGAUCCAUCUUGAGACUGACUUUAAUAUUUGCAGUAAUUACACCAGCACUAGCUGUGCUACUCACUUAAAGACUGAGAGCUGAGCAGCAUUUAAAGAUUUUUUUAAAUGCCAUAUGGGAAGCAUCUGAAGACUAGAGACAGAAUUGCUUAUGUGACUAUCUGAAAUUCAACAGUGCAAAAUGAAAGGGCAUCCACCCGGUGGCAGGUCAGUAUUUCCAUAUUAGCAUAAUCUCAGCUGUGGGAAACCAGCAGGACAGAAGACCCACAAAUGCUAUUCAGAGGCAGAAUCACUGGUGUUUCUGAUGUGAUGUGACUUUCAAAAGGACAAAUAGGAUCCUAGAACACAGCAGGUGAGUACAUAUACAAAAUAAAUAUUUAAGAAAGGACUUGUGAAACUUAAUCUGGAAUACUGUACGCAUCUCUGUUCACUGUUGCUUAAGGAUGUUGAGUGGAAGGAGAGCAAGGGGGAAUUAGAAUGAUCAGGGCACUGGUGGCUGUCUAACAAGAGGAGACAACUGCUCUUGGCUUGCAUUACCUAACAGGUUGCAUUACCUAAGGUUGAGAAGGGAUCCCUAAAAAUAAAUCACAGAUUAAAUACUAGGGAGCAAGAAGAGCUCCUUUGGUGAAAAGUAGUGUUGGCCAAAAAUAAAUGGAUACAAACUGGCAACAAAGAAGUUUGGUCCUGACUAACAGCCUUGGCUUUCAGAUAUGACAUAACUGCAAAUAGUUUUAUGAAAGGAUGCUGGUAACAAAAUACUUGCAGCAGCAUGGUGAAACCAGGGUGGCCUAUGAAUGUGAGGACCAUUAUAGUUUCAUUAUAACAGAGGACUGUAGCUUGGUAAAGACUUUGAUCUUAAUGUGCAAUCUAAUCUUAUUCCACUUUUUUGUACCAUUUAUGUCUCUUUCCUGGUUUGCUUUUUUUACUGGGGUUUUUUGUGGUGCCACAGUGUUCCCUGCACAGAAAGCACAAUCCCCAGCCAGUGAACCAGUAGCACUUCUGGAGAGAUGAGACACAAACCAGAAGCAAAUAGGAUAUAAUUUUCAAAGGUUACUAUUGUUUUUCUUGGGCCAGGUCUCAUAAGCCCUCAAAAAGAAACUUAAUACACCUAAGGAUAGCUCAGCUAUUACUUUUGGGGGCAUAAAAUAAGCAGGAUGACUUCUGCUGCGGUGUUAGAAAAAAAAAGGUUUAAUAAAAGGCAAAAUAACAAACAGAAAAACUCGAGCCAGGUGCAAAGGUCUGCUUCUGGUAAAAACUCCUCACAAAAGCACUUUAGCUCUUUUGUUCUGUUCUUUUCUACCUGAUGGGUCAGGCAGGACUUUUUGGCUUCUAUCCAGUUAGAUGUUCUCUAGUGUUUGGUGAAAUCCCUGAGGUCCUAUGAGGUGGCUUUUCACCUCAUCGUUGAGAGAAACUUCUGGGCUCCUUUCCUUUUUUGGGGGACAAAAUUUAGUUUUGCCACUCUGUCAUUAAGGGACACACUCCUACAGAUUACAAGUAAACUCAUUUUGCAAGGUUAAAAGCAGUAUUUUAUUAGGCUAUGAAUACUAUUCUUUUGGAUUUGGCAUCAGUACCAUUUCAAAUCCAUUUUCAGCAGCUUCUAACUGGGUUAAAAUUAUCAUAAAAUUCAUUUCAGGGAAUUUGGAGAAUGAAGAUUAUAAACAAACAGCUUUUGAUUAUUAUCUAAGAGAAUCAAUAGCUGUCCUUGCCCAGGCUAGAGAGCAAAGACGUUUCUAAAUAAACAAGAUUAUUAUGAGUGCAGUUGGUAAUUAGGGUGUGCAGCAUCGAGUUACUUAACAUAAAAACAUUAGUUAGAAUAGUUGGGAUCAACAGCAAUCAAAAAUAAGAAAAGAACUAACAGUGUUAGUCAUAAUAUGUCAUAAACAAAGUGUUGAGUUUUUCAGUUCACAAAUACAUGUGAAUCUUCUGAUCAGAACUUCUAAUGGAUAAAACUUGCUCCUUUCAUAUGUAUCAAAGCAAUAUAUGGGAUAAAUAAAUAAGUUUGCCUAAUCUGUGACCUGACUCCUAUAUGUCAUAAAAACUUUGAUGUAAUCUUUGGCAGUUUUUUCCCAAUACAUUUGUGAUCUGUUUCAAAUAGCUAAUUAGGUUUUUUCCCAAACCAAAAUGCACUCUUCCCUAUAUUAUUAGUUUUGAAAUGUGACCUAAAAGACAGGCUUUACAAAUGGUCUUUUGAAGCCAAGUAAUAAAUUCUGCCAGUCACUCAAUUACCUUUAUUUUUCUAACACAAGAAAACCUGAGAAGAACAGUUGAGUUACAAGUAACAAUUUAAACCAUUACUCAGUUCAUCUGACUUAAUGAUGAAAUCUCCCUUUUAUAUUCAUGUAAGUAACAUCUGUCAAUGUACCCAUGAUUUAUCUCUUGCACUAUAUGUAACUUCUUAAAUUUCUCUUUUGCUAUUAUAAUAGAGAUCACUUGUUUAUCCCUUUUUCAGCUUGAGCUCAAAGAACAGAAAAAAAUCUAACAUUUCAUUGUACGUUGGCAGUUUGUAUCACUUUCCAUCUUUCUUCUGUAGAUGAAAUGCCCAGAGCUUGCAGAAAAGGUAUAAUUAGUUAAAUUAUUUUCAUUCUUGAAAAUAAAGGCACAUUUUUUUUUCUAAAAGGCAUGUGAAUCCCUGGCACUUCUGUGGACUCACAGGAGUUGAAAUGGUUUUAUUAAUCUAAUCAAGCCUGUUGGUGACCAGAGGUGAGAGGUUCAGGACGGUCGGUGUGUAGCGGGAGGCACUGCCCUGGUGCCAGUUACGUGCAGUGCUGUCUGGAACAUGCCAUCCUGUGGGGAACAUGUUUCCUGACCUCGCCAACCUGGAGGGCGUGAACUCUCAUCAGCCGCUCUCCAGUGAGGAUCUAACCACUCAUAUUCACAACUAAACAGCACUUUUACCUGAACUAGGAAGUGCCCACUUGGACAGAUGCCCAACAGCCAGGAGGUUGGCUUAAGGUAGGAGAGGCACUGGUACCAUUUCUGAUGGGCUCAGCCCUGGCCAGCGUCGGGUCAGUCCUGAAGCCGGCUGGAAUUGGCUCCGUGGGACAAGGAGGAGACCUCUGGAAGCUUCCCACAGCUGCCCCCCAAAGCCCCCCACUACCAAAACCUGGCCAUGCAAACCCAGUACCCCCAUCUGUCUUACAAAAGUAAUUAAAAUGAAAUUA